rnacentral:rRNA from 1 species
GACGAACGCUGGCGGCGUGCUUAACACAUGCAAGUCGAACGGAAAGGCCCUGCUUUUGUGGGGUGCUCGAGUGGCGAACGGGUGAGUAACACGUGAGUAACCUGCCCUUGACUUUGGGAUAACUUCAGGAAACUGGGGCUAAUACCGGAUAGGAGCUCCUGCUGCAUGGUGGGGGUUGGAAAGUUUCGGCGGUUGGGGAUGGACUCGCGGCUUAUCAGCUUGUUGGUGGGGUAGUGGCUUACCAAGGCUUUGACGGGUAGCCGGCCUGAGAGGGUGACCGGCAACAUGGGAACUAGAUACCGGCCCGAACCCCUACGGGGGGAAGCGGUGGGAAAUAUUGCCCAAGGGCCGAAGGCUUAAGCAGCAACCCCGGGGGGCGGAUGAACGCCCUUGGGGUUGUAACCCCCUUCCGCCGGGAACGAGGCGUGGGUACGGUUAUUGGUAAAAGAGCCACGGGUAAAUUACGG